rnacentral:rRNA from 1 species
CCUACGGGAGGCAGCAGUGGGGAAUAUUGGGCAAUGGGCGCAAGCCUGACCCAGCAACGCCGCGUGAAGGAAGAAGGCUUUCGGGUUGUAAACUUCUUUUCUCAGGGACGAAGAAAGCGACGGUACCUGAGGAAUAAGCCACGGCUAACUACGUGGCAGCAGCCGCGGUAAUACGUAGGUGGCAAGCGUUAUCCGGAUUUCUGGGGUGUAAAGGCGGUGUAGGCGGGAGCGCAAGUCAGAUGUGAAAACUCAGGGCGCAACCUGGGGCCUGCAUUUGAAACUGUGUUUCUGGAGUGCUGGAGAGGCGAUCGGAAUUCCGAGUGUAGCGGUGAAAUGCGUAGAGAUACGGAGGAACACCAGUGGCGAAGGCGAAUUGCUGGACAGUAACUGACGCUGAGGCGCGAAAGCGUGGGGAGCAAACAGGAUUAGAUACCCGAGUAGUC